rnacentral:rRNA from 1 species
GUAGGUGGCGAGCGUUAUCCGGAAUUAUUGGGCGUAAGGAGGGAGCAGGCGGCAGCAAGGGUCUGUGGUGAAAGCCUGAAGCUUAACUUCAGUAAGCCAUAGAAACCAGGCAGCUAGAGUGCUGGAGAGGUAAGUGGAAUUCCUAGUGUAGCGGUGAAAUGCGUAGAUAUUAGGAGGAACACCAGUGGCGAAGGCGGCUUACUGGACAGUAACUGACGUUGAGGCUCGAAAGCGUGGGGAGCAAACAGGAUUAGAUACCCUGGUAGUCCACGCCGUAAACGAUGACUACUAGGUGUCGGGUAGCAAAGCUAUUCGGUGCCGCAGCAAACGCAAUAAGUAGUCCACCUGGGGAGUACGUUCGCAAGAAUGAAACUCAAA